GAAGUGCAGAUAGACACUGAAAGAAUACUACCUGUCAGUUCAGUGUCAGCCCAUUUGAAGCUAACCAAGCCAAAUGGUAUUGUGAAAGCGGUAGAUCACACCGUCCCGCUAACAUUUAACACGACAGACGAAACAGUGCACCACCUGCGCCACGUCCAAAUUCUCGACACGGGGUUAGAGGUUGUGCAUCCUGGCAUCUACUUCACCUACAGUAGUCUGCUCUUCUUGCCGAACACCUCAAGCACCUGCGGUCAGUUACGAAUCAAGACAUGGGUCCACAAGUUAGUUCUAACAAGGGCCGAUAACUCCAGAGUAGACUUGCUCGAAUCUUACCACACUUGUUGCCAUGAUUGUCACGGCCAGGAGGAGACUUCGUACUUAGGUGGCGUGUUCUACUUCAAUGCCAGAGACCAUCUACAGGUUCAAGUUACUGACUACUGGGUAGCGUAUCUCAACAAGAACUACAGUUUUUAUGGACUCGCCAUGAUAUGGGCAUAACAAAAUUUGAGGAGGCAUACAAAAAAACUUGAGAACAGGGCAUGAUAAUUCUAAAUGCAUGGUGAAGCAGAAAGAAAGGGCAAAAUGAAGCUUGGCUAAGCA